CAAAACCAAUGCCGUCCGCAUCUCUGCUUUGAACUGCUCAUAUUUGAUGAGAGAGAGAGAGGGAGAGAGGAAGAGAGGGAGAGAGGAUGACCCAAAAAAGCCCACCAAAAUUCAAAGUCCAACCUUUGAUUCUUCGUUUGAACGACACAGCACGGCGAUGUAUCAUCUGCCGUUAGCUCGCUUCGUUUUCCCACAUUCUUUCUGCUAACAGCGAAGAAUUCCUGGAGCCAACAAGAAGUCGAAUCAUCCUGGUUUGAUGGGCUUUUGGGUUCUUCAACUUCUUUGACACGAAGACUGACGAGCAAGGUACGGCUAGCCCUUUCCUUCUGGAAUCCCAAAAUCUAAUGGCUGACCAAACUCUGCCUCGUGGAGGGGACAAAAAGGGGCUUUGACCGCUUGAUUUUCAGCACUCCAUACGCGUGUUCAGUUUGUUCUCUUUCCCUCUGUCCGAGGGUAACAGAGGUGGUGCCAAAUUUCAUAGUCCUAUUCUAUCUUUUCUUCGCUUUUGUGGGUCAUCUUGAUCGUUUUGUUUUCUCGGCAGUUGGGUUUUCUGUGGUCUGAGAAGUUGUUCCAAGUUGACAUGAGAGGUGGGAAGGCUGUCUGAAUCUGACUCAUCCGAGGGUAUGUGAGUUAGAGAAUCUGCAAAUAGCUGUUUGAG